UGCGGCGGGCUACAUGCAAGUCGAGCGGAUGACAUUAAAGAUCUGUCGCUCUUAUGAAGCUAGCGGCGGACGGGUGAUGACCACGUGGGUAACCGGCCCAUAAGACUGGGAUAACUCCGGGAAACCGGGGCUAAUACCGGAUAUAAUUUUGAACCGCGGGGAUCUAAAUUGAAAGGCGGCUUCGAUUGUCCUUUAUGGAUGGACCCGCGUCGCAUUGUAUAGGCUCUGAGGUAACGGCUCCCUAGGCGACGAUGCGUGACGAACCUGACACUGGAACUGACACAGGGUGGACUGACAUACGCCCAGACUCCUACGGGAGGCUUGAAUAGGGAAUCUUCCCCUGUGGACGAAAUUCUGACGGAGCAACGCCGGGUGAGUGAUGUAGGCUUUCUGGUCGUAAAAAUCAGUUGUUAUGGAAGAACACCUGGUUGUUUAAUAAGUUGCCGACCUUGACGGUACCUAACAAAAAAGCCCCGGCUAACUACGUGCCACCAACGGUGGAAAUACUAAGGGGAAAUGCGUUAUCCGAAAUUAUUGGGCGUAGAUCGCGCGCAGGUGUGUUCUUACCCCUGAUGUGACCCCCCACGGGUCAUCCGGGGAGGGGGAUUGGAAUCUGGGAGAUUUGGUGCAAAACACGAUGGUGCAAUUACAUGUGUAGCGGUGAAAUGCGAAACAUUUGGAGGAACACC
rnacentral:rRNA from 1 species